AACGUAGGAGACAAACGUUAUCCGGAGUUACUGGGCGUAAAGGGCGUGUAGGUGGUUUCGUAAGUCUGGCGUGAAAUUUCUCGGCUUAACCGAGGCAGGUCGUCGGAUACUGCGGAACUAGAGGACGGUAGAGGCGUGUGGAAUUCCGGGUGUAGUGGUGAAAUGCGUAGAGAUCGGGAGGAACACCCGUGGCGAAGGCGGCCAUCUGGACCAGCACUGACGCUGAGGCACGAAAGCGUGGGGAGCAAACAGG
rnacentral:rRNA from 1 species